UGAUGAACACCAAGCAAAGUUCACAUUGUCAAAGAGUUUUAAGUUUUAAUAGAUGCAAAAUGUUAUUCUCAAGGAGCUUGCAGAAAUAUAAGUUCUUUUAAAAGAAGUUAUAGAAAUUAAGUUUCAGGCUACUGGGGUGAAGUUGCUAGAAUCGGUGGACAAAGUGGUUACACUGGAUAAUAAACUAAAAGAUAAAACCGACUUGAUAGUUUAAAAAAGAUUGGUGGUGGAAAGCCAAGAAAACAUGUUUUUUUGAUCAUGAAAAGUUUAUUGUUAAAAUAUUUAUCGAAAAGGAAAUGGGGAAAAGAUAAGCUUAGAAAAUCUAGUAAAUAUAUGGAGUGUUUUAUGAGAUAUCGGCGACGUGGAAGAAAAUGUUGACGGCAAUGCAGAAAUAUAGUUUCUUAUGUAUAUUUUUGUGAAAU